AAGAGCUGCAGAGGAAACAGAACCGUCAGCAGAACCUACAGAACCAACAGAACCAACAGAACCGUUCUCUACUCGUUCAGCAUCCUGAAAUCCUGGUUUUUCAUUUUCUGCUAAAAACAAAACCAGGAAGUAGCAGUUGCUAAGCAACAUGAACCACAUGUCUGGCGCCUCUGGUAAGGCACAAAGGAUGAGCAGAUCUAGCUAAUAACUGAAAUAUCAUGUCUGCUCCUGGAUGUAGAGCUGUUAGCAUGUCAGUCUGCAGUCAGAGGCCUCUUCACAUUUACUGUGACACUGACUGCUACUGGAUUCCAAAAGGAUUCAGAAUUGGAUCAAACGUUUUCAGAUGACAUCAGAGUUUCGUCCAUCCCAUAAUGAGGUGCAACGUCGGCUGAGGUUUCCCUCGAGGCGACGGACUCGGCUCCACUUCCACUGCAGGAUUUUCAUCCUGCCGCCGAUCCGACGUUUUGUUUCCUGAAAUGUCGGAUUCUCCUGAAGUGGCGAUGAAACGCGGUGACACUGGCACUUCCUGUCUGGACCACAGCACCUUUCCCAUCCAGAACCAGGAGGAGGAAUCCAGGAAAACCCA